GAUGAACGCUAGCUCCAGGCUUAACACAUGCAAGUCGAGGGGUAACGAGAGGAAAGCUUGCUUUCCUUGUCGACGACCGGCGCACGGGUGAGCAACGCGUAUCCAACCUGCCCCCAACUAGGGAAUAACCUUGCGAAAGUAAGACUAAUACCCUAUAAUUUCCUCACAUGACAUCUGACGAGGAAUAAAGAUUUAUCGGUUGUGGAUGGGGAUGCGUCUGAUUAGCUUGUUGGCGGGGUAACGGCCCAACAAGGCAACGAUCAGUAGGGGUUCUGAGAGGAAGGUCCCCCACAUUGGAACUGAGACACGGUCCAAACUCCUACGGGAGGCAGCAGUGAGGAAUAUUGGUCAAUGGGCGGAAGCCUGAACCAGCCAAGUAGCGUGCAGGAUGACGGCCCUAUGGGUUGUAAACUGCUUUUAUACAGGAAUAAAGUUAGCCACGUGUGGUUAUUUGUAGGUACUGUAUGAAUAAGGACCGGCUAAUUCCGUGCCAGCAGCCGCAGUAA
rnacentral:rRNA from 1 species